rnacentral:lncRNA from 1 species
CCAUUAGAGCCUAUUCAGAAGAACCAAGUGCUUGCUCAUAUAAAACUAACCAUCCCAAUACACGUGGAUUUGAAGUGGAAGACGAACUAAUUUCAUUGUCAACCCUCCUCCCUCCUAAUAAUAUAUGGAUGGGAGAGGAGUGUUCCCAAUCCACACGAGGCAGGACGUGGUUUCGGAUUAAGCCCAGGCGCCUAACUGACGACGAAUGGGGAAGGUAGCUUUGUGCUCACCGCGUCUGCCGACAUCUGAAGUGGCUAUUUUUGCUCCCAACAAGAUGGCUGCAGAAGGUGCAGGUCACCGCGACACCGCGUGGCGCUGCCGGCAGGCGCCGCGGUUCAUCCCCCCCACCCCGCUUGCGCCGGCCGCCGCCCAGUUCAAUGCUAGGAACAUGAGAGCGCCAUGUAGCGAAAUGAGGGCCACUUGACCGUUUCGGCUCGCCUUACCGAAACGCAGCUU